rnacentral:rRNA from 1 species
CCUACGGGGGGCAGCAGUGGGGAAUCUUGGGCAAUGGGCGCAAGCCUGACCCAGCAACGCCGCGUGAAGGAAGAAGGCUUUCGGGUUGUAAACUUCUUUUGUCAGGGAAGAGCAGAAGACGGUACCUGACGAAUACGCCAUGGCUAACUACGAGCCAGCAGCCGCGGUAAUACGGAGGUGGCAAGUGGUGUCCGGAUUUACUGGGUGGAAAGGGCGUGUAGCCGGGUUGACAAGUCAGAUGUGAAAUCCUUGGGCUUAACCGCAGAUAUGCAUUUGAAACUGUUGAUCUUGAGUACUGGAGAGGCAGGCGGAAUUCCUAGUGUAGCGGUGAAAUGCGUAGAUAUUAGGAGGAACACCGGUGGCGAAGGCGGUCUGCUGGACAGCAACUGACGGUGAGGCGCGAAAGCGUGGGGAGCAAACAGGAUUAGAUACCCCUGUAGUC